ensembl:lncRNA
CACCAUAACAACGCCCACCCGUAGCACGCGCUCCAGCAGGUAUAUCUCACUGGUCACCAUAACAACACCCACCCGUAGCACGUGCUCCAGCAGGUAUAUCUCACUGGUCACGAUAACAACACCCACCCGUAGCACGCGCUCCAGCAGGUAUAUCUCACUGGUCACCAUAACAACACCUGCUUUUGCCGUCUUUCCUUCCACUAACUGUAAACAUCAGCUAUCUGAGCAGCUAACCGAUCGCUGCAGCUGUACAUAGUCCAUCUGUAAAUAGCCCACCCGAUCUACCUACCUCAUCCCCAUAUUGUUUUAUUUACUUUUCUGCUCUUUUGCACACCAGUAUCUCUACUUACACACCAUCAUCUGCUCAUCUAUCACUCCAGUGUUAAUUAAUCUGCUAAAUUGUAAUUAUUUCGCUACUAUGGCCUAUUUAUUUCCUUACCUCCUCUCGCCAUUUGCACACACUUUAUAUAGACUUUAUUUUGUUCUAUUGUGUUAUUGACUGUACGCUUGUUUAU